rnacentral:rRNA from 1 species
GAUGAACGCUGGCGGCGUGCCUAAUACAUGCAAGUCGAGCGAACGGACGAGAAGCUUGCUUCUCUGAUGUUAGCGGCGGACGGGUGAGUAACACGUGGAUAACCUACCUAUAAGACUGGGAUAACUUCGGGAAACCGUAGCUAAUACCGGUUAAUAUUUUGAACCGCAUGGUUCAAAAGUGAAAGACGGUCUUGCUGUCACUUAUAGAUGGAUCCGCGCUGCAUUAGCUAGUUGGUAAGGUAACGGCUUACCAAGGCAACGAUGCAUAGCCGACCUGAGAGGGUGAUCGGCCACACUGGAACUGAGACACGGUCCAGACUCCUACGGGAGGCAGCAGUGGGGAAUCUUCCGCAAUGGGCGAAAGCCUGACGGAGCAACGCCGCGUGAGUGAUGAAGGUCUUCGGAUCGUAAAACUCUGUUAUUAGGGAAGAACAGAUGUGUAAGUAACUGUGCACAUCUUGACGGUACCUAAACAGAAAGCCACGGCUAACUACGUG